rnacentral:rRNA from 1 species
UGAGGAACAUGACCUUCGGCGGGGGAUAGCCGGCCCAACGGCCGGGUAAUACCGCGUACGACCACAUGGGGACAUCCCUGAGUGGUGAAAGCAGCAAUGCGCCGAUGGAGUGCCUCGCGGCCUAUCAGCUAGUUGGUGAGGUAACGGCCCACCAAGGCGACGACGGGUAGCUGGUCUGAGAGGAUGGCCAGCCCACAGUUGGGACUGAGACCACCGGCCCAGACCUCCCGUAGGGACGG